UUUUCUUAUCUAAUUUAUAGCUUUUUUAACUUCAUGUGAAUAAAAAAGAAUUUUCUCCCUACUUUCCUACUCGACCCUUUUUAUCCCUAGUCGGGAGAGGCCUAGAGGGCAAGCAAAUAUUUUCUUAAAGAAAUAAAUAUUUUUUUCAGUUUUAGGGAAGGGAAAUUCUAUACUAUUAUAAACACAUUUUCUUAUUUCUAAAUCAUGUAAAUUUUCAUAAUCGUACUUUUAUUAUUUAAAAAUGUUUGUCCACAUAAGAAUAUGUAUUUUGUCAACAAAAUGGAGGGAAUCAAGAAGGGCUAAUAUGUAGGACUGUAUAGUCCAACUGCAGUUUUAAUUAUCCUCAAGUUAAAAUAAACUUAAUACAUUCUGACAAAAUUUGUGUAAAUAUUGUAAACAGAAACUUGCUUGAAAAGGCCUACCUAAGAUCUUGGCGGGAUGCACGCCAGAAAAGCCAUGGCAGCUGGCUUUCACCAAAUCCCCAACUUUAUACUGGCAAAACUCCUUUCUUGGAUCUUUGAUGCGUGAUAUGGUUAUGAUGCUGACCUUUUCUUCCUCUAUCCACUCCAUAAGGGCAUACAUGGUUCGUUGAACAAAGUAAUAAUAGAACCUUUCAACUUUCACCUUCUUGAACCGACGCUAUCUUGUUUGAAAAUGGAGAGCGGAGCCGAUUUGACCAAUCAGCGAUUAGAGGAAAUACCGGAAUCAAGGAAUUCAAAACCUUUAUGACUUCAAAUGAUUAAAAAUCGUAAAGUAUAUACGUGAGAUUUUUUUUAGUUAUUCAUCAGUUUUGCUGAAAUUGAUCAGGAACAAUCAAACGUAUUUUUAUUUUUACGUAAAUACCCGAUUCGCACACUUCCGGUUAUUCCGGAUGUAAACGAAGAAGGCGCCAUUUUAAAAACAAAGAUUGAAAUAAAAUUAAAAGCGAAACACUCGUCACUGCUCCGAAGCUAUGUACCCUCACAAACGUGGUAGCUACCAGGUUUUCCAUGCCGAUAAGUCUAAUCCAACACUCAAAGUAUCCCUUUGGCGAAUGCAACAAGGAAAAGACAACAUUUCAUCAGAAAAUUUCGACAAUCGAAGUGUGGCGUGUGAAACUGCUGGCCCUGUCGCCAUUAUGAUUAUCGAUGCCUUUCAUGAGAAAUCAUUUAACCAGUUGCUUCAAGAUGUUGCUGAAGAACCUGCUUUCUUGCCAUAUCAUAUAUGUUGACGGAGAUUCAGAAUGAGACAAAGAGUUUGAUAUAUGAUCCUACACCUGACAGAAAAAGUUGAGGAUCUUGGACCACUUUGGUGCUCAUCUUGUUUCUAUUUUGAGGAUUGUAAUGGAUAAUUGAGAUGCCUUUUCCAUGGCAUCCAACAUAUUGAAACCCAAAUAGCAUUUGCGGUUUGUGUUCAUCAGCAGCUACUGACGUUGUCCCAAGCUCUGAAGUUUGACAGCAGUGAAAGGGAACAGACAGGGUUGCUGUUAUUGGAGCCUAUGUAAAAGACCUUUGAAAUCUGAGGAACAAGCAGUCCUUUUGACCUUAGCUGGAGAGUAGGUCCGUGUGGUUUUCUUCAAAAGACUACUUGUGGACGAACAGGUUGAGACAACAAAAUAAUUCGAUUCAAGGAAACGUUCAUUGGGAGAUUAGAAACUUUUGUUAAAGUAACAGGACAUGACUACAAAUGAAAAACUUUGUUUUGUUUUCACAGUUCCUAACAGGAUUGAACAGGAAUAUAACAUGAACAUGUUCAAUGUCCAGAACAGAGACAUCAUUUAACAGUCAUACCUUGUUUUGUGUCACAUUUACCAAUGAGAUUUGAAUAUAGAAAUAUUUUUUGAUACUUUUUUGGAAAAGACGUUUUUAUAUAUAUGCCUUAAUUUGAUUUUGAUAGACUAUGCAUACCUAAAUUGAUGAAUAGUGUCUCUUUUAACAUGGAACAGAAGUCCAUAUGGACUUAUUUUUAAUAAAUACUGUGACAUAUCUCA